AUGCAACUUUUAGUAUUUUCUCCCUCCCGUUCCCUCUUUCAUGUCAAACCCUAGUUUUUUUCCUCUGCGCCGGCACCGCCGCCACUGCCUUUAUGGCUUACACAGUAGUCGUCAUCGCAGAUCAACGCCUCCUCCUCCUUCUCAUUAUUACAAACCCUAAACCUCAUUUCAUUAUAUCUCUCUCACACGUGAUCUAAAUCCUUGACGUCGCUAUUUGAUCGUCGACUCGCCGCCCUUCGAUGUUCUUCGCUACCGUCGCCGGUUGUUUUUGCUGCUGUUGGUUGUCACUCCUCUCGUCUCCCAACAACCAUGGGAUUGGGCUUGCAUAAAGGAAAGGGGCGGUUUUUUCUUAUUCUUUCCGGCAAAUCAAAUUCAGAUUUUGCCCUCGCGCUAUUCAGUGUGCUAUGUUAAUUCUUGAGGGGCAAGUUAGAAUGUAUGUAAUUGAUACAGGCUUGGAGAAAAUUUUAUUUCAUCUUCGAAUCAUGGAUACCCUUGCUCACUUGACGUAUAGAGCAGUUGACUCCGCGCAUAAAGAGGACUCUUGAGUCUUUUAGAGAGGUUCAAAGGCUUCGGCCAAAUUGAGAUGAUUUUCCUCACUGGAUGGAUUGCAAGUCUCACGGGAUGGAUUGCGGAUCAUUCAUCUUAUUGUUAUGUGAGGCACUUUUCGGGUGGAUUUCUAGUCGAUCAUCCUAUAUAUGAUUCAAUGUGCAGACUGUUGAGUACAAGAACAUCAGUUUCAUUGUAUGGGAUGUUGGUGGUCAGAAUACGGAUGACUUAAGGGAUGCCGUCUUGCUUGUGUUUGCUAACAAACAAGACCUUCCAAAUGCAAUGAAUGCUGCUGAAAUAACUGAUAAGCUUGGUCUUCAGUCUCUCUGUCAACAUCACUACUAAGAUAUACUUGUGCUAUCUAUUUUGGUUUAUUUAUCUACUAUGGAUCUAACUGAAUUUUGCUUAGCAAUUGAUUUUUGAAUGUAUGCUGAAUUAUCAUAAACCAGUCAAAAUAAUAGCAACCAUACAAUGGUUUUUGUCUCAUUAAAUAUGCCUAAGCUAGAUGCAUUUUAUUGUCUUCUGAAGAUGUUGACACUAAUUUGCUGUUGAAGAUUAAAAGGUUGGGUUAUUAUAAAUCUCUUCAAUAUCAAGAAAGUUGGUUUGGAAAUUGCUCUCUCUCUUAGAAAUUCAAAUUGGUAAUAAGAAUAGAUCACCUUUUAUAUUGCAUGUGAUGCUAAUAGGCUUUGGUUGCAUAAUGUUAGCAUAGAUUGUUGGUCUCUCUAAACUUGAUAAUUUAGAGUGACCUAUAAAAUUAUGGUCUCGAGCAGGUAAGUCAUAUCAAAAUGUCCUUUUGCAGUUUAGGGAACUUCACAAAGAAUGACCCAAUCUAUUUUUCUGAGCAGAGUUUUACUAGUUUAGUAUACACAGGCUCUGCUUUUUGCUUUUAUUUUUAUUAAUGUCUUCCGCAUGAAUCUGAAGUCAGUAGCCCAGCCUACAUUACUAAUGAAUUAAUUCCCUAUUGUCAUUUUCUUGGUUCUUCAACUUGAAGAUUAUGCAAAGCAUCCUUCUAUAAAGUUUAAGAAGUUGCAACAUUGAUUUUUGGAAAUUGAGAACACAGAUUUUGUUUGCUUGCCAGGUACAUACAAAGCACUUAUGCUAUAUUCGGUGAAGGUUUGUAUGAAGGGCUUGAUUGGCUCUCCAACAACAUUGCCAGCAAGGUAUUUACUUUUUAGUUUUCCAAGACCACUCUCUCUGUGACGUCAAGACCCUCGUCAAAUGUUAUAGAAUCACUAUGAAUAUUGCCAAAAUUGAGAGCAAACUUGACGAGAUUUAUGAAAGCAGUAGGAAUCUCCGAUUGAAGCCUGUAGAUGGGUAGUGCGACGGUUCGAAGAUGGAUUUGUCUCUGUCGUUGCAACUUUCGAUGAAUCUUGAAUCGUCGGAAGAAGCAAGGAGUGUGAAUUUGUUGUGGCCGCUUUCAAAGCCGAUUUGGUCUGGAAUCUAUAUGUGGUUGUGAUCUAUAUCCUUGUUGGAAUCAGUAAGACUACACUCAGCGCCAAUUAGUAUUCAAAUCCUAUUGAAUUCAAUGGUGACUUUGAGAUGAUGAUAUUAUUGUCUUUAACGAACGCGUACGGCAUUGUAAAGACUACAAAAACAGAUUAUCAAAGAGAUAAUUGGGAAAGACUACAUGAUCAAAGCUUUGACUACUUGCAAAAUCAUCUUAAACUUAUGAAGGGCAAGAGAUUCUUGCUUGUGCUUGACAAUUUCAGCACGAAGGAACCCAUGGUCUUUGACAAUUCUUCAUGUGGCUAAAGCUUUGACUCUUGCAGUUUUCCCUAGUUAUUUCUUUGAUUAUCUCUUCUGUUGCCUUUAUGGCGCUGUACACUUUUGUUAAAGACACCCAUAUCAUCAUUUCAAAGUUGUCAUCGCUUAUAGAUUUAGCAGGGUUUGUGAAUUGUAGAACCUGCCUCUAGAUCACUCUUAGAGAAAUAUUUGAAAACUAAUUGGGCGUGUAGUUUUAUCGAUUCCAGCAAGGCCAUGGAUCACAACCACACGUAGAUUUGAGAUUGAAUUGGCUUUGAGAGUUGCCACCACUGAUUUGCGCUCCUUUAUUCUUUUGAAGAUUUUAGAUUUGUCAAAGGUUGUAAUGGUAGGAACAGAAUCCAUCUCGUUCGAGCGAUCACUUCACCGUUGCCCAACUAAGGGCUUCAAUUGGAGAUUCCUCUGGCUUUCGUGGAUCUUGUCAAGUUUUUCCUCAAUCUUUGCAAUAUCCUUUGUGAUUCUGCGAUGCUUGACAAAGGUCUUGACGCCAAAAGAGAGGACUGACAACUUUAUUUUACGGGAAGGAGCUUCCUUGGCGUACUUGAUGAUGUCGACGAGAGUUUGGAACUUGUUGAUAAGGUUUUCGGCGUUGAAGGUCUUCAUCUCGCCGACUCAGCCCCUGACGGCUUCCUGUUUGAUGUCGAGUGACUCAGUGUUGAUGAUUAAGCACUGGAUCCGAUUGUGGAUUCUCUGGAACUUGUCGACCAUGUCCUCGAGGUUUCGAAUGAGGGAGGCCUGAUUGUAGCCUACAGUGAGAAGACACCAGAAGAUCUUGCUGCCCGUCUCUGUGAGGAUCUCGUUGAUCCAACCUAUGGCGAAGGCCGUGCAGAUGGGAGUUGGAGGGAGGGAAGGAGGAACAAAGGGCGAUCUAAAUUGACUACAUUCUUGAAAACAAGCGAGUGUGAGGUGCCAUCAAAAUUAUGGAAUGGGAACUUGGGAAGUUGCCUGGAAACGAAAGGCUUUACCAACGGCGACUUUGAAAAUAUUUUGUAUAAAGGUGAGACAUCAUUUCUAAAAACACGGGCUAUGACUUCACCGAACACAAGGUGAAUCCAAUCUAACUUAAAAUAUCAAAAGAUUUAUGUGAAACAAUCUCUUAAUAUUUGUGUAGUUUAACAAUUCUCAAACGGAGAUGUCA